rnacentral:rRNA from 1 species
UAGGGAAUCUUCGGCAAUGGGGGCAACCCUGACCGAGCAACGCCGCGUGAGUGAAGAAGGUUUUCGGAUCGUAAAGCUCUGUUGUAAGUCAAGAACGGGUGUGAGAGUGGAAAGUUCACNCUGUGACGGUAGCUUACCAGAAAGGGACGGCUAACUACGUGCCAGCAGCCGCGGUAAUACGUAGGUCCCGAGCGUUGUCCGGAUUUAUUGGGCGUAAAGCGAGCGCAGGCGGUUUGAUAAGUCUGAAGUUAAAGGCUGUGGCUCAACCAUAGUUCGCUUUGGAAACUGUCAAACUUGAGUGCAGAAGGGGAGAGUGGAAUUCCAUGUGUAGCGGUGAAAUGCGUAGAUAUAUGGAGGAACACCGGUGGCGAAAGCGGCUCUCUGGUCUGUAACUGACGCUGAGGCUCGAAAGCGUGGGGAGCGAACAGGAUUAGAUACCCUGGUAGUCCACGCCGUAAACGAUGAGUGCUAGGUGUUGGAUC